rfam:Ictidomys tridecemlineatus contig020519, whole genome shotgun sequence.
GGGGGCAUAGCUCAGUGGUCAGUGGUAGAGCACAUGGUUAGCAUGCAUGAUGCCCUAGGUUUGAUCCCUACCCCCCCCA